UACUAGAGUAGCACUCGCAUAUCAAUAAGCGGAGGAAAAGAAACUAACAAGGAUUCCCCUAGUAACGGCGAGUGAAGCGGGAAGAGCUCAAAUUUGAAAUCUUAAAGGGUUUCCCUUUACGAAUUGUAGUUUAAAGAAGUGUUUUCUGUUGAGGUUUUGGUAAAAGUUCUUUGGAAUAGGACAUCAUAGAGGGUGAGAAUCCCGUAUUUGACCUUUACUUUCAACUUUGUGAUACACUUUCAAAGAGUCGGAUUGUUUGGGAAUGCAGUCCAAAAUGGGUGGUAAAUUUCAUCUAAAGCUAAAUAUUGGCGAGAGACCGAUAGCGAACAAGUACCGUGAGGGAAAGAUGAAAAGAACUUUGAAAAGAGAGUUAAACAGUACGUGAAAUUGUCAAAAGGGAAGCGUUUGACACCAGUGUUGUUUUUCUGAAAAUCAAUUAAAGAACUGUUUAUGCUAAGUUGUUUAGACUUUAUCAGCUAUCUGUUUAGUUUUAGGCUUUUCUUAAUGCACUUUUCAGUUAACAAGUCGACAUCAAUUUCUUUUGCUGUAAAAAAGCUUGAGGAAGGUGGCUUGAGAUUCGUCUUAAGUGUUUAUAGCCUCUUGCCUAUGCAGUCGGAGAGAUUGAGGUCUGCAGCGUAGAUCCUUCGGGGCUAAAUGCAUUUGUGCUAAGUUAUAGCACUUUCAUAGACAACUUGUUGACUAUGAUUUGUCUUGUAGCUUACUCGCUUAUGUUAUUUUACCUACGCUUAGGAUGUUGAUCUACAGAGCGAGAGU
rnacentral:rRNA from 1 species